GUGGAAAUGACCACACACACACACAUGGGCUCCUAUAACAGCAAGCUUUGAGGUUUAUUAAAAAAACAGAAUUCACCAGUCCUCUGCCAAACCUUUGAAAUUACAGAGAUUGGAUGUCCUGUGAUAUCACAACAGAGGAUUUGCAACGUCAGGCUUUUGGAAACUAAAUUAUGUGAUCAUUCAAGG